rnacentral:rRNA from 1 species
GACGAACGCUGGCGGCGUGCUUAACACAUGCAAGUCGAACGGAAGGGCCCUGCUUUUGUGGGGUGCUCGAGUGGCGAACGGGUGAGUAACACGUGAGUAACCUGCCCUUGACUUUGGGAUAACUUCAGGAAACUGGGGUUAAUACCGGAUAGGAGCUCCUGCUGCAUGGUGGGGGUUGGAAAGUUUCGGCGGUUGGGGAUGGACUCGCGGCUUAUCAGCUUGUUGGUGGGGUAGUGGCUUACCAAGGCGUUGACGGGUAGCCGGCCUGAGAGGGUGACCGGCCACAUUGGGACUGAGAUACGGCCCAGACUCCUACGGGAGGCAGCAGUGGGGAAUAUUGCACAAUGGGCGGAAGCCUGAUGCAGCAACGCCGCGUGCGGGAUGACGGCCUUCGGGUUGUAAACCGCUUUCGCCUGUGACGAAGCGUGAGUGACGGUAAUGGGUGAAGAAGCACCGGCUAACUACGUG